UACUUUGAAGCUAUUGAUUGUUGUUACUUUUGGACUCUUCUUCAUUUGCAUUGUGUUGUUCUUGUUGCCUGGUUUAUUAUUAUUAUUAUUAUUAUUAUUCUAUUAUUAUAAAUAUGAAUCUACACACUUGCACAUGCUGACGGUGUCGCACGCAUUCCCACUGACCUUUGACACUCAAACACUGCGCCAGCACCUAAACACCCACACAGCUUCUCUCCCAGCACCCGUGCACAUGUGGACUGUGGGUGCUGGGUGCUUGUAUAUAGCCUCUGUCGAGUGGCUGUAUUGUGUCUAUCGUCUGCUAGUGAAGGAGCGUCGUGACGCAUGGAAAAGCACCCUGCCCGUGUUAUACUGUUGUGGACCAGUUAUGGCCAAAUUCCCUUUGUGCAAUACCCCGAAUAUCUAUGUAUUUUACUAUUUUGUUUUCUUGUGUGUUAUUGUUUGUGUCCAUUUAUUCUUCCUCAGAUUUAUUUAUUUUUUUUGUUUUUGUUUUUUUGUGUGUGUGUGUUGGAUGGUGGUGUGACUGAAUUAGUUCACUCUUCAUUUUUAUUGUUUGACACCACGGUCCGAUACGAGCAACUCAGUCUGUCUCGUGCAUGAAGUGAAUGUUGACCUUUAACAGUUACAGGCUAUUUAACUAAUUACGUGCAGCAGAAUGUUAUAGGUGGAAUGUGCCAUAUGCAGCACUGUGCAAAAGUUUUAGGCACUGUACAAUCUGAAUGUCGUGUGUGAUGUCUUCCCUCAAUUGUUGCUUAAACUAAUCCAGUAUCAGAUUAUAACCUCAUUUUCAGAUUUUAUACACAAUUUUUUUUUGGUAUAUUACCCUGUAUAUUGCAAAACAGUGACUUAGCCUUUUUAAUUAUUUAAUUUGUCCAUUUAUUUUGUAUUUAAAACAGAAGGAAAACCCAGAAGCUGCUGAUUUUUACGCCUACCUUUUAUUCAUUGAACAAGUACCUGAAUUCACAGAAUCUUCUGAAAUCCACAGAAGAAAUAAGAACAUCAUCCAUUCUCAUAUUUAACAAUGCAGUGGACCACUCAAAGCUUUAAUCUCAUACAGAUGAGCUACAGCGUGUAGGACUGAGGGGAGUUUAUUAUCAGAAAUGUAAUAUAGCAUUCGUUGUAAGUUCUUCUGCUUCUCCCUUUCUCAUUUGGUGUUGCAAUAGCAGAUAUGGAUUAUUGUAUAAUUACUGUAUCUGCAACAAUGAAUCGAUGUGUUUUCAUCAACUUGGCAUGAGCUCUUCGUAUCUGUAUGGGAGCGGGCCCCCUUAUGGUGGUCACCAUGUUGCAGCACUGUGUUGAUACAGUAGACCAAAGGGACAUAUAUAUGUUCUCUGUGUCCCACACUUUGCAGCACAGUCAGAAGAGUGACGUUAAGAAGGAAGAGGAACAAUAUGUUGCUCUAUUACGUACUACUGGUUGCUAGUAGUACAGGCUAACAAUUUUAAGAGCCCCAAUUUUUGUGAAUUGGAGAAUCAUACAUAUUGCGUAUCACAAGAGAAGGCAAGGGAGUAUGAGUCUCUGUCAACAAAGCUGCAAAAACAAGAGGGGACACAAAACUGUGACCAGCGACGACGUAAUGCAAACUGCAACCUUGCCACUAGAUGACACUAAAUCCUACACACUGUAGCUUUAAAUUAGAUGUUUUUUUUCUUUUUUGUAGUCACACAUUUUUGAGGUAAUUUUAAACUUUAUUACACAUUUUAACAUCAAUGACGUUUAUUUAUUUUAAUGACCUCAUCGUCCACCUGCAGUACCAUCGCAUGCCACCAGAGGGCAACAGCCCCCUCUUUUAGAAAUCACUGCUCCACAAGCAACUGUUCCUCAGCUCAGACUGUAACAUAACUACAACACAACGGUUAAACGUGCAGAAGACACCACAAGAACAGACUAUAAAAUUCACAAGCAGCAGAAAAGCAUUACUUCAUCAUAAAAUGGAAAACCUGGAUUAAAAGCAACAUGAGUGUUUUAUAAAAUACAGGAAACCACCUCAAAAAUGUGACUAAAUUAUCCAAAAGAAAGGUUUUCUUAUUUAUU